GAUGAACGCUAGCGAUAGGCUUAACACAUGCAAGUCGAGGGGCAGCAUGGUCUUAGCUUGCUAAGACUGAUGGCGACCGGCGCACGGGUGCGUAACGCGUAUGCAACUUGCCUCACAGAGGGGGAUAACCCGUCGAAAGACGGACUAAUACCGCGUACACUCUAUGUUGGGCAUCCAACGUAGAGGAAAAGAAAUUCGCUGUGAGAUAGGCAUGCGUCCCAUUAGCUAGUUGGUGAGGUAACGGCUCACCAAGGCGACGAUGGGUAGGGGAACUGAGAGGUUGAACCCCCACACUGGUACUGAGACACGGACCAGACUCCUACGGGAGGCAGCAGUGAGGAAUAUUGGUCAAUGGGCGAGGGCCUGAACCAGCCAAGUCGCGUGAAGGAUGACUGUCUUAUGGAUUGUAAACUUCUUUUAUACGGGAAUAACAAGAGUCACGUGUGACUCCCUGCAUGUACCGUAUGAAUAAGCAUCGGCUAACUCCGUGC
rnacentral:rRNA from 1 species